rnacentral:misc_RNA from 1 species
UUGUACACACCGCCCGUCACACCAUGGGAGUGGGUUGCAAAAGAAGUAGGUAGCUUAACCUUCGGGAGGGCGCUUACCACUUUGUGAUUCAUGACUGGGGUGAAGUCGUAACAAGGUAACCGUAGGGGAACCUGCGGUUGGAUCACCUCCUUACCUAAAGAUAUCCUGACUGUGCAGUGUCCACACAGAUUGUCUGAUGAAAAAGUAACGAGCAGAAAUACCUUUAUAGGCUUGUAGCUCAGGUGGUUAGAGCGCACCCCUGAUAAGGGUGAGGUCGGUGGUUCAAGUCCACUCAGGCCUACCACUUCUCUCCUAUGCUGCGUUAUGGCGCCGCUCGCAUAUUUCAAUAUGCGUCGCGACACCACGCCUUGCCUAGAAGAGAAGUAGUAAACCGAAGGUCUCUGUUAGUGACUGUAUGGGGCUAUAGCUCAGCUGGGAGAGCGCCUGCCUUGCACGCAGGAGGUCAGCGGUUCGAUCCCGCUUAGCUCCACCAUAUAAGUCCGAAAAUCAAUACUUCAGAGUAUAUUGGCAACAGUAUGCUGCGAAGUAUUUUGCUCUUUAACAAUCUGGAACAAGCUGAAAAUUGAAACAUGGCAGCUGAAACUUGUCCCCCGUAGAAGUCCGGGAUGAGGAGUAACCUGUCAUAGAGUCUCUCAAAUGUAGCAAUGCGACGAUGUCGGAAGACACCUUCGGGUUGUGAGGUUAAGUGACUAAGCGUACACGGUGGAUGCCUAGGCAGUCAGAGGCGAUGAAGGGCGUGCUAAUCUGCGAAAAGCGUCGGUAAGGUGAUAUGAACCGUUA